CGCCACCUCAACUGCCUGUACUCUGCUACGGUUAGAAACAAUUGUUGUUGAGACUGAUGAUCGCUUGGACACCCCAACUAUAAAGUACGCCGGAGGACUCCGACAAAUACUGUCAAACAAAACGUAUUAUAUCCCUAGUAACAGGUCAGUCCUACAGUUUAAAACGGAUGGAUCAGUAUCAAAACGAGGAUUCAAUAUUUCAUAUGAAGCUAAAGAUCUACAAAUAGCUAAAAACGCAUCAGUAUUUGGAUGCAAAGACUUCCAGCUAUUAGCAGAGGCAAAGU